AAAAAAAAAAUUAUAGUAAGAUAGUGUGUGGCUGGCCGUGAACCAACAUGGAGAACAAAUAGCUCGUAGCCACCAAAGCACUAUCUAGCGCGUAGCGAACACGUAGUCAAUGGCUAAUUGUACCAAAGACGAACCUAGCCACAUUAUAGUCCACGUUCAAACGAGGCCCACCAGUUUCUAUAAAAGUCAACUUCACCCCCCAAAAAAAACGCUCCUAACUUUUGACCUUUUCGCUUUUCUUGAUUUGGAGCCAGUGGCAUUGUCGUAAAAUCAUUUGAUCUAACCGCUUUGAUGUUCUUGCUUAGUUUCCAUUACUUCUGUCAUUAUCACCUUUAUAUUUUUUUCUCCUAAAAAAGCCAAAUAUUCGUAAUCACGAUCUUUAUCUCUUAUAAUUUAAUGUUUAUUCCAAUUUAAAACAUUAAAUUUAUAAAAGCUCAGAUCUAUAUUUCUUUUUCCCCUCACUUUUGUUAAAUAAUUUUUUUUAUCUCUUGUUUAUCUUUCUUGAAUUUUUUUCCAGUUUGAAGCAAAAUCUAUUUUCUCUGUAAAUUUUGUACUUUUCUCACAAAAUACUAGGGUUUUCGUUUUGUAUUUUGAUGAGAGAGUGAUUCAGUGAACCGGGACAUGAUUCAGGUUUACUGAUUUUACUGUUUUAAAACUUUAGAAAAGAAUAGUGAACAUGAACAAUCUGGUGUUCUAAAAUCUAAAAAGGGGAGGCUUUUAACUAAUAUCUCUCGUGUACUUUUUCUCUAAUUCUUAAAUCGUUCUCUCUUUUCUGUUUCUACUUUUUAAGAUCCCUUUUCGCUUUAAUAAAUUAAAAUAAAUCACGUAAAAGGUCUAAUUUGGAGGAAAAAGGCUAAAAAGCGAGAUCGAAUUCUUCUUCUUCUUUUUCCAGGUAAGUGGGUGUUUCACCUUCCAACUAUCAAUGGCUAUGCAUAACACCAAUUAAUUUAUUUUGAAACCUCUCAUUUAUAGAAUACACGUGCAUAUAAUGUUUAAUCAUCUUCUUCUUUUUUGGUGAAAAUAGUAUAAUACUAGUUGAUUCCUUUUUCAAUUGUGUUUUUGUCUAUGUGUAUAGAUAUCAGAUUAAUCACCCAAUUUUAUAACUGGCAAUUAUACAAUAAUGAAUAGAACUAGGAAAAUGUUGAAGAGGUAUCGUCUGGUGUAGGAGUUUACGAUUACAGCGUCUCUUCGAUCGGUAGAAUAUUAAUUAACUCACUAUCAAUCAUGCAUACUUGUCUACAUUACAAAGUCAACACAUGUGGUGCUCACUUUGGCUCCAGCAAAAACUGAUUACAAUAUUUGUGUUUUAAAGUAUAUAAAAAUUAGUCAGAAAAGAGAAUCGUAUUAUUUUUUAUAGCUUUUUGUGAUCGAAAUUGGCUUAUGUGACAGAAAAACGCCGGUUAAUUCCUUAGAAAAACUUAGGUUGAAAAUGAAUUGCGGCUAGUUUUUAUAAUAAUCAUGUCAUUGUCCAUCAACUUGCACAAGUUAAAGCUUUUGUCUAAAAAAUGGGUGAUUUAAAAUGUUGGUUUAAUGCAUUCUAAUGAACAAGUCAAUAUGCUGGUAUUGACAGAACAUCUACAUAGAGUUUGGACAAGAGAUCAAGUCCCAAUUAGAACCACCAAAAAAGAACAUAUGAAUUAGGUUUUAUAUAAUAGCCUUUUAGGUAUUCUUUCCAAAUUUCUGUUCAGUUAGGUUUGUUUUCUAAGUUUUCUUAAGUCCUUUUCUAAAGUUUAUGUCCAACCCAAAACGAUGAUAAAAAAAUCCAGAAAUCAAAUGUUAAUUAAUAAGGUUCUCUUCGUCUACUCUUAGCUAAAAUUAAAUUAUUUUAUAAAAAAAAAAACGAAAGGAUAUGAUUAACGUUAGUUCUUCCUCGUUUAUUGAGGGAUAACUGUUGCAUUUUUAAAAAAUCUCACUAUGUGCCACGUGGCUAUUCUGGUCAACUAUCUCUCCUUAUAGCAAAAAAGUAAACGAGAUCAUUGAAUUGAGAUUGUUUUCAGUAUUGCACACAAAGUUUGCCACAGAAACCAUUGACUUAAUUUGUUUAAACUUUAAUGUCGAUCAACGCCAAUUAAAAAUUGCAUCUUUUCUAGUUAGACUUUUUUCAAUGUUCUUAAUGUACUUGGUCUCUUAGUAAUCCAGAUUCAUCAAAUUGUAUAUGACCACCACUCUCUUAUCAUUAAAUUAAAACAAAACUAUCCUAAACUUUCGUUAUAAAUAAGCUUCAUCAAUGUUGCUCCAAAAUUCACACUUAAAAGUCAUCUUUCAACCCAAUUAUCUCUAUCCUUUCUCCUGGUUCGAUACCAUUACUCCAUCCACACAAUUUAUAUAAUCUCAAAAACUUGCAAAGUAAAGUACUAAUCUAAGUAGUCUCCUGUUCUGUUUGCAGAGUUACAUAGCUAUGUCGUCAAGAGCUCACCCUGUGGACGGAAGUCCGGCGACGGACGGUGGACAUGUUCCGAUGAAACCUUCACCCACUCGGCAUAAAGUUGGAAUCCCACCAAAGCAAAACAUGUUCAAGGAUUUCAUGUACACAUUCAAAGAAACUUUCUUUCAUGAUGAUCCUCUUAGGGAUUUUAAGGAUCAGCCUAAGUCUAAGCAGUUUAUGCUCGGUCUCCAAUCCGUCUUCCCGGUCUUCGAUUGGGGACGUAACUACACUUUCAAGAAGUUCCGAGGUGAUCUCAUCUCCGGUUUAACCAUUGCAAGUCUCUGCAUUCCUCAGGUGAAAAACCUAAACUCAAGUACUUGUAUCACAAGUUAUCUGUACUUGCUUGUUUCUUAUGUAUAUUCCUUGAUGAUUUCAGGAUAUUGGAUACGCUAAGUUGGCGAAUCUUGAUCCCAAAUACGGUUUAUGUAAGUUUGAUUUUGACAUGCUCACACUUGAUUGACCUCAUUUGAUAAAACAUUGGAUACUCAAAAUAUGUUUCUUGAUGUUACAGAUUCGAGUUUUGUUCCUCCAUUGGUGUAUGCUUGUAUGGGAAGUUCUAGGGAUAUAGCAAUAGGACCUGUCGCUGUGGUUUCGCUGUUGCUAGGCACAUUGCUUCGAGCUGAGAUUGAUCCAAACACAAGUCCAGAUGAAUAUCUCCGCCUUGCCUUCACUGCUACGUUUUUCGCCGGUAUAACCGAAGCAGCCCUUGGAUUCUUCAGGUAAAAAAUUGAUCUCUUAUCUAUUAACAAUUUCUUCCUUCUUUCAUGGUUGAAAAGGCUCUCAAAAUGUUCAUCUUCUUCCUUACUACUCUCAGAUUAGGAUUCUUGAUCGAUUUCCUUUCCCACGCGGCUGUGGUUGGCUUCAUGGGCGGCGCAGCCAUCACUAUCGCUCUUCAGCAGCUUAAAGGCUUCCUCGGGAUCAAGAAAUUCACCAAGAAAACUGAUAUUAUUUCUGUUCUUGAAUCCGUUUUCAAAGCAGCUCAUCACGGCGUAAGAACCCUUUACGCUGAUACAAACACUUUGUUUCUUGAUUCCUCCAUUGGGUAAAUCUCUUUACUAAUUCAUAUAAAUUUGGCUAUGCAGUGGAAUUGGCAGACUAUACUCAUUGGUGCAUCAUUCUUGACCUUCCUUCUCACGUCUAAGAUCAUUGUAAGACAUAUAUCUAUUAACAAAACAUCUAAGUUUAUUCUUUGUUUAGAUCUGUUUCUGACCUCUCUUGACUUGAUGCUGAAACAGGGGAAGAAGAGCAAGAAACUAUUCUGGGUACCAGCUAUUGCGCCAUUGAUAUCAGUUAUCGUUUCCACCUUCUUUGUCUACAUAACCCGAGCCGACAAACAAGGAGUCCAAAUCGUAAGAUCUCAACUCCCUCUAACUAGUUUCUUGCGUUUCAAACAAUUUGUCGUUGUGGUAAUACCUAAUAUGAUUCUUUUUUCUUUUCUUUUUUAUGAAUAAAGGUGAAACACCUUGACCAAGGAAUCAACCCUUCCUCGUUCCAUCUAAUCUACUUCACUGGUGAUAACCUUGCUAAGGGCAUCCGCAUCGGUGUAGUCGCUGGCAUGGUCGCUUUAACAGUAAGUACAAACCAAUGACUCAUACUUCAAUCUCUCUUAAACGAAAGUUCCUCAUUGAAACCCGAAUAUUUCAAUCUGUUUUCGCAGGAAGCUGUAGCGAUUGGAAGAACCUUUGCUGCAAUGAAAGACUACCAAAUCGACGGUAACAAAGAGAUGGUAGCAUUAGGUAUGAUGAACGUAGUUGGAUCGAUGUCUUCUUGCUACGUAGCUACCGGAUCUUUCUCAAGAUCAGCUGUCAAUUUCAUGGCUGGAUGUCAAACAGCGGUUUCAAACAUCAUAAUGUCAAUUGUUGUUCUCUUGACAUUGCUCUUCCUUACUCCUCUCUUCAAGUACACUCCAAACGCCAUCCUCGCAGCUAUCAUCAUCAACGCUGUGAUUCCUUUGAUCGAUAUCCAAGCUGCUAUUUUGAUCUUCAAGGUUGAUAAGCUCGAUUUCAUCGCCUGUAUUGGAGCAUUCUUUGGCGUCAUCUUUGUUUCUGUUGAGAUCGGACUUCUUAUUGCCGUAAGUCUCAAGAAAACUAAACCCUCUAUAUAUAGCUGCAAUAAUGAUGAAUCUAAUUCACUUCUAAUCUUAAUUUGCUAAUGUUUGUAUGUGUACAGGUCUCGAUCUCGUUUGCUAAGAUCCUCUUGCAAGUAACAAGACCUAGAACUGCAGUUCUCGGAAAUAUUCCAAGAACUUCGGUUUACAGAAAUAUUCAACAGUAUCCUGAAGCCACUAUGGUUCCAGGGGUUCUUACUAUUCGUGUUGACUCCGCCAUUUACUUCUCCAACUCAAAUUAUGUUAGAGAAAGGUAAAAACCCUAUACAAAAGUUUAAUAUUAACCAAGAUCUGUUACUUGGUUGACAAGAAAUUUAAAUCGAAAACCCUUUUUCAUUUACAGGAUCCAGAGAUGGCUACAUGAGGAAGAAGAAAAGGUAAAAGCAGCAAGCCUACCUAGGAUUCAGUUUCUCAUCAUCGAAAUGUCACGUAAGUUAAACUUCACUCCCAAUUUCUAUAUAUAUAUUCCUUCUUAAUUUUUUUCUCAUAACACAAAGAUUAACGAACACCAUUAUUUUUCAGCUGUUACGGACAUCGAUACAAGUGGUAUUCACGCAUUAGAAGACUUAUACAAGUCUCUCCAGAAAAGAGACAUUCAGGUACAUACAUAUAUACACACAUACUGAAUUCUUUAAGGAUUAUAAUCUAAGCACUCAAAGUGAAUUAGUUGAAGAAGAUUUACCUGACUCUGUGUUUUGUGAUGAUAAACAGUUGAUUCUGGCGAAUCCUGGACCGUUGGUGAUAGGCAAGCUACACUUGUCGCACUUUGCCGACAUGUUAGGACAAGACAAUAUCUAUCUAACGGUGGCUGAUGCCGUCGAGGCUUGCUGUCCAAAACUCUCCAACGAGGU
rnacentral:lncRNA from 1 species